AGAGUUUGAUCCCGGCUCAGAAUCAACGCUGGCGGCGUGCCUAACACAUGCAAGUCGAACGAGAAAGCUGGAGCAAUCCAGUGAGUAAAGUGGCGUACGGGUGAGUAACACGUGGAUCAUCUACCUCUUAGUGUGGAAUAACCCAGGGAAACCGGGGCUAAUACCGCAUAAGUCCGUGAGGAGAAAGCAGCAAUGCGCUGAGAGAGGAGUCCGCGGCCGAUUAGCUAGUUGGCAGGGUAAAAGCCUACCAAGGCAGAGAUCGGUAGCCGGCCUGAGAGGGCACACGGCCACACUGGCACUGAAACACGGGCCAGACUCCUACGGGAGGCAGCAGUGGGGAAUCUUGCACAAUGGGGGAAACCCUGAUGCAGCGACGCCGCGUGAGCGAUGAAGCCCUUCGGGGUGUAAAGCUCUUUCGGCAGGGAAGAUUAUGACGGUACCUGCAGAAGCAGCUGCGGCUAACUACGUGCCAGCAGCCGCGGUAAUACGUAGGCAGCGAGCGUUGUUCGGAGUUACUGGGCGUAAAGGGUGUGUAGGCGGUCGCCUAAGUUUGGUGUGAAAUCUCCCGGCUCAACCGGGAGGGUGCGCCGAAUACUGAGUGACUAGAGUGUGGGAGAGGAAAGUGGAAUUCCUGGUGUAGCGGUGAAAUGCGUAGAUAUCAGGAGGAACACCGGCGGUGUAGACGGCUUUCUGGACCAUAACUGACGCUGAAACACGAAAGCGUGGGUAGCAAACAGGAUUAGAUACCCUGGUAGUCCACGCCCUAAACGAUGCAUAUUUGGUGUGGGUCAUUCAGUUGAUCCGUGCCGGAGCUAACGCGUUAAAUAUGCCGCCUGGGGAGUACAGUCGCAAGGCUGAAACUCAAAGGAAUUGACGGGGGCCCGCACAAGCGGUGGAGCAUGUGGUU
rnacentral:rRNA from 1 species